ensembl:lncRNA
UCUCUGUAUAAAAAUAUUAUGGAGUCAAACCAUUUUUUCUAUCUGCUCUUUUCAUUUCAUUUAUGUUAAGCCUCCUUCCCUUUACAGUAGUCAGAAGAUUUUUCAGGAUUAUGAAGAUGAUGGAGAAAAUGGUAUCACUAAGGAACAUCUACAACAGUGAACCUGGGACAUGAACUAGGUCCACCACCUGCGUUAUCUCAGAAGGCGAAAGACAGGCCCCAUCACCAGCUUUUAAAAAAAUCUAACUACUCAACCCCCUAGUUGGGGUAACUUCUUCCCAGACACUACCUAUCACGUGUUGUUCAUUAGUGGUCUUCAUAGUCACUUGAUUACAAAGUUGAGGAGAGUGAUGGACUCCGAGAGGACAGGUGACACUUAAACCCCAAGUCCCACUGCCUCUUCAGACCACGUUUACGGAACACGAUUAUUGGAGGAAGUCACAUCUUACAAUCUGUCCUCUCGUCAUGCUGAGUUAGGAUGAGCACACUUGAACUUGGAGAUGGCCUUACAACUUCUGAAUGGGAGGGACACUCAGAGAUGGUUACAGGACCAGUACCAGCACUUGUCAUCACCAAUCAGCUCCAUGGCGUUUUGGCUGCAAAGUACAAGAACAGCAUUUUGAAGGUCACAUACCACCCAGCGGAACUAGGGCUAUCAGCAUACUCAGACAUGUCAAUGGAAGGAAACAAACCAAGAUGCUAACAGAGUCUGGCUGCAUGAAGAAAGGACACAGGUGAAACAACCAAGUGACCCACAGGGAGAGCAAUGCCAGCUGAAAUAAAGUUGUGACAAGCGCCAAAGCUUGAGGCCAGCUUCCUAUGAGAUGAAAAAUUUAAUCUAAGUCUUCAGAGAGUGUAAAGCCUUGCAUUUGGAAAUUCUGAAAAUGGCUCUUCCCAAAAUUUCCAACUCUGCACUUUUUCCUUCAAUUCCAUUAAUAUAAUAGCUUUCACAGUAUCAUAAUUUUCACUCUAUUUUUAGAGUGGUUGGAAGCCUUGUUCUAGUUUGAUUCCAUGAUAAGAGUAUUCCUUCCUAUUUGUAAAGAGAAACAAUAUGCCAAGUGAUGGAAGAAGCCCCUCUUCUCUCCGCCAGCAACUACUCACAGGGG